AACGGAGUUGGAUUUAAACCAGACAUAUUGGACAUGGAUGUAAUGGAAAAGGUUCUUGAGGUUAGCAGUGAAGAUGCAGUAAAAAUGGCUAGGAGAUUGGCAUUGGAGGAGGGGCUUAUGGUGGGAAUAUCAUCUGGAGCCAACACAGUUGCUGCACUUAGACUUGCUAGAAUGCCAGAGAACAAAGGAAAACUCAUCGUGACUGUUCAUCCAAGUUUCGGGGAGCGAUACUUGUCAUCUGUCCUGUUUGAAGAACUGAGAUAUGAGGCUGCAAACAUGCAACCAGUUCCAGUUGACUAAGUGCUUUGGGAUGGGGUGCUCUAUAAAUAAUAUUAAAUCUCUUGUAUGCAAUCAUUUGUUGACUUCAUAUUACUUAAUAGGUUUCUUGGGUGAAAAACUAUGUCUGCAGA
rnacentral:misc_RNA from 1 species